GGGACACUAGAUGCCCGUGCCGCACAUGGCGUCCCUUCCCUAGGCUUGCCCCAGACCUGCAAAUGCCACCACCAGGGACCUGAGCUCUGGGUCCUGAAUCCUUUGGGGUUGGAAAGUCCCCUUUAAACUGCAAACUACACUGACCAUCAAGUGUCCAAAACUGGAGCUUCCACUGUUUGCCAGAGGCUGUUGCAGGUGCUGGGCCAAGCUUUGGGUCCUUCCUAUGGUAUAACCCUCUCUGUUACCCUUCAAGGUUGGGUGCUUCCAUUAGCCCUAUCUGACAGAGGAGGGGAGUGAGGCCCAGAGAAGUGAAGUGACUUGCCCAAGGUCAUCUAGCCAGGAGAUGAGAAAAGCAAGGCUCAAGAGAGGAUGAGUGAUGGGCUCGAAGAUGCACAGUGAGUGACUGAACAAAGAUGAAAACCCAGGGCUGCUGGGUCCCUCGUUCAAUAUUGUCCAAAAUCACUGGAAAGGGAGGAAGCGGAUUUUAAAUUUGACUCUCAUUUGUGUGUGUAUGCAAGUCCUCUCUAAAAGGACUUAGGAGAAGCUAGGGAGAGUGUUUACCUACAGGGAGGAGACUGGACACCGGAAGGUUGUGGAAGGUUGUGGAAGGGUGUGGUAUGGCGUGGGAAGGACACUCUUUACUGGUACUCCUUUGUAUCUCUUGAAUGAAUUAAGGCAUGUAUUACCUCUUUAACAACCAAAUAAAAGUUGAUCCAGU
rnacentral:lncRNA from 1 species